GCCGCUGCCAACCCGGAAGGAGCCCGGAGGGGCCCGGGCGGCCAGGGCGCCCCCGCCAGGAGGCCCGCCAGGUGUCCACCUGAGCCCCACGCCCUGCGCCGCGGGGCCCUUUUGGGGGCGGGGUGCCAGCUCCGAGGUGUCCUCCCACGGGCUGUAGACUGGGAAACUGAGGCCCGGGCCACGGUCCCAGACGCAGCCGGGACCCGAACCCACCUCACCUGAGCGAAUGAUAUCCGGGACUCAUCCUUUUUCGACACCUUUGCGGGAUCCAGCCCUCCAAGGAAAGCUUCCUGAGCAGUGCGCGCCACGUGUAUUGGGCACCUCACCGCGGCCACUUCACAUCCUAUCUCAGGUGGAGAAACUAAGCCACAGAAAGGAGCUGUCAUUUACCUAAAGCACCGUGGCAGGGGUUUGGCAGAGCCAGGAUUUGUACCCAGAUCGCCUGACUUCGGAGAGUAACAGCUCUUAACCACAGCACUUCGGUCUAUGCCUUGAUUUCACCAUAUGUAACAAGCUGUGCCACUUUGCAUUCCCACCAGCAGCACGCAAGCGUUCGAAUUUCUCCGCACGCUCCCCAACGGGACAAGAGCUUGCCGUGUUGCCCCAGGCUGGUCUCAAACUCCUAGCCUCAAGCAAACUUCCUGUCUCGGCCUUUCAAAACCCUGAGAUUACAAGCAUAAGAAAAGAAAAUCUUGUAAGAUGAAAGCUGAAGGAUGAGAGCAAUUAAUUGAUGAAGUAUGAUGAUCCAGGUGUCCCUGGGUGAAGAAACAACCUCUACAAAGGCCCUGAGGGUCUCGCUCAUCACCAGGCUGGAGUACAGUGACAUGAUCAUGGCUCACUGCAGCCUCAACCUCCCGGGUUCAGGCUAUCCUCCCACCUCAGCCUCCCAGGACCACAGGCGUGUGCCACCAUGCCCAGCUAAUUUUUUGUAGAGAUGGGGUUAUGCCAUGUUGCCCAGGCUGGUCUCGAGCUGCUGGGCACAAGCAAUCUACCCAUCUCAGUCUCCCAAAGUGCUGGCAUUAUAGUCGUGAGCCACUGUGCCCAGCCAACAGCGUCUUUCAAAGAGCAGAGAGAGGUUAAUUUUGAUGAUGUCCAGUUUGCACCUUUGUUGAAAAUUGACCAUAUAUCUGUGAGUCUGUUUCUAGACUCUUUGUUCUGCUUUAUUAAACUACUUGUCUAUUUGUACACCAAUGCCACACUGUCUUCAUUGCUGUGCCUUUGUAAUAAGUUUUAAAGUUAGGUCAUUUAAGUCCUUUAAUUUUGUUCCUCUUUUUCAAAGUUGUUUUGACUAUUCUAAGCUUUUGCAUUUCCAAUACAUUUUGUAAUCAGCUUGUAAAUUUCUACCAAAAAAGCCUGCUGAGACUUUGACUGAAAUUAUGUUGAGUUUGUAGAUUAAUUUGGGAAGAAUUGACAUAUUGACAGUAUCGAGUCUCUCAACCCAUGAACAUGGUAUACCUCUCCAUUUAUUUAGACCUUUAGAGCUUUUUCUCAGAAACAUUUUGUAGCUUUUUUUUUUUUUUUUUGAGACGGAGUCUUGCCCUGUCACCCAGGCUGGAGUGCAGUGGCACGAUUUUGGCUCACUAUAACCUCUGCCUCCCGGGUUCACGCGGUUCUCCUGCCUCAGCCUCCCAGGUUCACGCGGUUCUCCUGCCUCAGCCUCCUGAGUAGCUGGGAUUACAGGCAGGCGCCACCAUGCCCGGCUAAUUUUUGUAUUUUUAGUGGAGACGGGGUUUCACCAUCUUGGCCAGGAUGGUCUCGAUCUCUUGACCUCGUGAUCCGCCCGCCUCAGCCUCCCAAAGUGCUGGGAUUACAGGCAUGAGCCACCACGCCCAGCUUGUUUUGUAGCUUUAAUUGUAUAGGCCUAACAUACUUUUUUGUUCUGUUUAGUCUAUUUCAUAUUUUUAUGCUACCGUAAAUAGUAUUUUUUAAAAUUUCAAUGUCCAGGUGUUUUUUGCUAGUAAUAUAUUUUUUAUGUUGAUCUUGUAUCUUUCAACCUUAUUAUACUCAUUUAUUAGUUCCAGCAGCUUUUUUGCAAAUUCCAUCAGAUUUUUAACUUAGAUGAACAUUUUUUUUUUUGCAAAUAAAGGCAACUUUUCUUCUUUAUAUCAAAUCUGAAUUUUUUUUAUUUCCUUUUCUUGUCUGAUUAUAUGGGCUAGAAUCUCCAAUACAAUGUUGAAUAGAAGUGGUGAGAGUAGACAGACCUGUCUUGUUCAUGAUCUUAGGGGAAAAACAUUAAUGAACCCUAAUGUUCAUUAUAGGGUUUUGUUUGGUAGAUGCCUUUUAUUAGGUAAGAAGAUUCCCUUCUAUUCCUGGCUUGCUUAAUUUUUUUUUUAACAAUCAGGAACGAAUCUUGGAUUUUGCCAAAUGUUUUUUCUGCCUUUAAUGAAAUGAUCUGAUCAUUUUAAUUGUUUAGUCUGUUAAUACAGUGAAUUACACUGAUUGAUUUUCCAGUGUUAAAGCCACUUUGCAGUCCUAGGAGAAAUCCCACUGGUUGUGAUGUACAGUUGUCUUCCCUUAUCCAUGGGGGAUGUGUUCCAAGACCCCUAGUGAAUGCCUGAAACCUCAGAUAGUACCAAACCCUAUAUACACUAUGUUUUUUCCUGUACAGACAUACCUAUGAUAAAGCCUAAUUUAUAAAUUAGGCACAGUAAGAUAUUAACAAUAACUAAUAAUAAAAUAGAACAAUUAUAACAAUAUACUGUAAUAAAAGUUAUAUGAAUGUGGUCUCUCUCUGUUUUCU
rnacentral:lncRNA from 10 species